GUGUGUGUGUGUGUGUGUGUGUGUGUGUGUGUGUGUACGCGCGGAGUAAAACUGGGUACGGAGCUUAAUCGGAGCUUAUUUAGAGCGUAUUACGUAUUACUCCCAUUUCCACUCCUCCUAUUCUUUGUGGCCCCGGCGCUUAAACAAUACAGACAGAAGCUAUUGUUAGUUCCGCCUGUUGUCCGCUCGGUUUAACACUGCGCCUGAAGUGACAACAAGAAACUGCAUUACGCAACCGAGAUACGAUGAUCGAUAUUCGUAUUCACAGUUGCGCCCGAGGGCGCGUUACGUACGGAACAUCGAACAUUCUAGCGAGCUCGAUUACUAUAGACUGCCGUCUUUUCUAAUAAAUAGUUUCUGCCGGCUCGUCGAGAAGCGGACUGAGAGAAGACAACUGAGUGUACGGAGGAACAGUUUGGCUCUUGAGCAUGAGUUGUAUAAAUUAAAGUAAGGUUACAAAGGCAAAGUUCGUCAAGCUCUCUAAACGCGCACGGUGUAUUUUACUUUCAAUUGGACAACAUACAAAGUACGACCACGUGUACGACCUAUCUAGCAACAUUACACUCGCGCGUCGUCAAAAACAAUUUAGAGCUGAGAACGCGAGUGCUGAUGCGUUUUCUAGCGAAUUGGUUCCUAAAACGAGAAACAUGACGACAACGGCCGAAUCGCCAGUAACACGUCACGUGCCGGCAAUUUAUUGACAUUGGCAGCGAGUUAAUUGGUCUGGACGCGAGAACAGAGAUGCAAUCUGCGGCGAUGGAUCCCAGUGGGAAGGAUAAUUUGUCCGGCAUCGUGUUGGAACGAGCACCCGGAGAGCUACCGCCUUCGAUUUUUGCCACUUGCCGACGCUCGAUUUACGCUUCGUCGCAAUGCACGAAUGCAAAAGUGAUAACGCGAAUAUUUUUACUCCGGGCUUUCCGCGCGAGCCGCUAAAAGAGCUCUGCCACAGCAUUUUGUCGCGCAUUUGUCGAAUAGUUUAACGAUUUUCUCACCUUGUCUAUAGCUCGAACAAUUCAAUCUUGCCCAUGACGGCUACGACGGACGCGGUUCCUUGUUAAUGUCCUGAUUAAUCUCGCCAAGAGCUGAUCGAGCAGAAAUAAUCGACUGCCCAACACUGCUCCUAUCUGGGAUUGGAAGGAUGUCCGGUGACGCUUAUCGUGAGUGAGAUGACGGAUAGGGGGAGGUGGUUAUCCGCUUAACACAAUCGUCGCGUGCGAUUACUAGCCGGAGAUUAUUUGUUCGAUAAGCAACGCCAUGGGAUAUAACGCCGAGGAUAUAAUCGAGGUAUAAUUAUAGUGCCUCGACAAUCCCGAGAUGCUUCGACUAUUUCGAGGUGCUUCGCCGGCCGGCCCCGCAG